rnacentral:rRNA from 1 species
UACGUAGGGUGCAAGCAUUAAUCGGAUUUAUUGGGCGUAAAGGGCGCGUAGGCGGGCGGCCGCGUCCGGGGUGAAAUCCCGCCGCUCAACGGCGGAACGGCCUCGGAUACGGGCGGCCUCGAGGGGGGUAGGGGCGUGCGGAACUCUGGGUGGAGCGGUGAAAUGCGUUGAUAUCCAGAGGAACUCCGGUGGCGAAGGCGGCACGCUGGACCCCUUCUGACGCUGAGGCGCGAAAGCCAGGGGAGCGAACGGG